UUCUUACCAGCUAGGUGACGCUGGGUGGGUCACUUACUGUUAUGAGGCUGUGAGCACUUUCAGUUUCCUCUUCUAUGAGAAGGGAAUAAUAGCUGACCUACUGUGUGGAUGGCCUUCUGUUUGUGGGGAUCCCCACGGUGUGUGCCUCCAUGGUGGGGGAGGGGAGCACUGUCUCCUGCCGGGAAGUUGAAGAAGGCAGGUGCUGUGAGGGUCCCUGGCCAGGAGGGUGAGCCGCCUGGGCCAGGGCCUUUGCAUCUGAAAGGUAGAGCAGAGAGACGGGCACGUGGAGAAUCAUCUCAGUAGACGCAAUGGAGGCAACGGUGACAAUGACAGUGGUGGAGGUUACUCUGUCAUCCAGAUCAGACUCUCCCUGUAGCAUGGACUUGGUUCCUUUCUUCCAUUUUUCUGGUCCAUUCUGGAAGCUGCUGGAUUUCUUCCCAGUAGAUUGUCUUUAUGUUCUCAAGUUGGCCAGAGUCAAUUUCUGUGGGCAGAACCAAGGGUCUCGGCCCAAAUACUCACCUACUUCCUAGGGCGGUGGGUUUAGAGCACGACACGUAGAUGGGACUUCAGAGAAGUUGGAGCGCAGCUCAGUGGGGGCGGGAAGUGAAGCCCUGGGUCCAGACGCUGUGUGCAAUGCACACCUGUUUAAAAUAAAGAGGAAACGAUAAUGGUCAAAGUGACCAAGUCAAACAGUCAUGUUGAGUAUCAGGUAUCCCAUGGUGAAGCUGAGAUAUUGUGAAUAUGCUUUGUAAGGGACAAGGAAAAUGUAAGACACCCUCCUUAUCUUACCAAUACAGAGCCCUCCCACUCCGCCUCCUCCUUGUCUUAAAUUUAGCUUAAAAACAUGACUGUUUCAACAAAACUGGGGUAAGGCACAUGUCCAUUUCGAGACUGCUGGCAUCUAGGACCAGGUAUUUAUUUCCUGCUCUCAGCUUUCUGGGCCCAGUGUCUGCAGCCUCUUGUGUCAUCUUUGGUGGUCUGGAGGGACAGGGAGUCACUCCUCUGGCUGCCAUCCAGGCGUCCUCCAGGGAUGGAAACCUUCAAAGCUGAAGGGUGGGUUUCCCCCUGAGGCAGCAGCUCCACGGGGACCGGCUCUCCAGCCCUGAUGGCCCUGCUGGGAUGUCCACCGCUCACAUCUGCUUGGUUAGAUCCUCAGUGCUCAGGACACAGGCGCCAGGGCCAGCGUGAGGCCAGGCACCGGCCAGUUUUUCACAUUAACGGGUCUGGGCUGGAUGUGAUGGAUGUGUUUUUCUCUCCCAUUGCCCGGGCACUCUUUCUUGCACUUCUGAAAAUAUUCAGGCCCAAGAGCCUGAAAUGUGCCCCUGAGGAUAGAAAGGACGUGCUAUCGAACCCACCCUGACACCCGUUCCCCCUUCACUACCCUGUCUGGGAAGAAGGCACUCUGCAGAUGCAGUGUUGAAUUCCAGUUUAUGGUUAACGAUUUUGAAAGAACAAGUUGUCAGGGCUGACUGAUGUGGAAGCAGAGCCAUUAACCCCCCGAAGAACUAAGUGCCAAAACCAGUGGACCACGCUGAGAAUGUUGCUGUUGAGGGUCCAUGAGGUGUCUGCAUCUGCAGGGAACAAUGUCUGUGUCCAAACUCUAGCGUGCCACUGCGGUGAUGUGUGUUCAGAGACGCAUGCUCCCUUCCCGUGUGGGAUUUCAGAGGACAGCCUGCGGAGAGGUGUUCCUCUUUGUAGGGGGGCAGUAGAUGGAGUGGGGAUGUGAGGAGAAAGAGGCCCGAGCUGGGGCACGGAAAGUGGAGCAUGCCCACCCAGCGUUAGGCCUCGGUUUCCUCAUCUGUAAAAUGAGGGAUAAAGACCCCGUGGCUCCCAAGUUG
rnacentral:lncRNA from 1 species